rnacentral:rRNA from 1 species
UGAGCAAUCUGCCCUUCUCUUUGGAAUAAGCGUUGGAAACGACGUCUAAUGCCGAAUACGACCUCCUUUCGCAUGAUCGGAGGUGGAAAGCUCCGGCGGAGAAGGAUGAGCUCGCGGCCUAUCAGCUAGUUGGUGUGGGUAAUGGCCACCAAGGCGACGACGGGUAGCCGGCCUGAGAGGGUGACCGGCCACACGUGGGACUGAGACACGGCCCAGACUCCGUACGGGGAGNAG